UCCCUGGUGGUCUAGUGGUUAGGAUUUGGCACUUUCACUGCUGCAGCCCAGGUUCAAUCCCUGGUCUGGGAA
rfam:Sus scrofa chromosome 17.